rnacentral:misc_RNA from 1 species
AAGUCGUAACAAGGUUUCCGUAGGUGAACCUGCGGAAGGAUCAUUACUGAGUCAGGGUCUUCCAGGCCCGAUCUCCAACCCUUUGUAUAACUACCAUGUUGCUUUGGCGGGCCCGUCUUUAACUGGACCGCCGGGGGUCUUCGACCUCUGGCUAGCGCCCGUCAGUAGCCCCGAACAAACUCUUUUAACCAUGUUAAACCUGAAAAUAGUUAAAUAAACUAAAACUUUCAACAACGGAUCUCUUGGUUCUG